rnacentral:misc_RNA from 1 species
GAUGAAGAACGCAGCGAAAUGCGAUAAGUAAUGUGAAUUGCAGAGUUUUGUGAAUCAUCGAAUCUUUGAACGCACAUUGCGCCCGCCAGUAUUCUGGCGGGCAUGCCUGUCCGAGCGUCAUUUCAACCCUCAAGCCCCCGGGCUUGGUGUUGGAGAUCGGCGAGCCCCCCGGGGCGCGCCGUCUCCCAAAUAUAGUGGCGGUCCCGCUGUAGCUUCCUCUGCGUAGUAGCACACCUCGCACUGGGAAACAGCGUGGCCACGCCGUAAAACCCCCCACUUCUGAAAGGUUGACCUCGGAUCAGGUAGGAAUACCCGCUGAACUUAAGCAUAUCAAUAAGCGGAGGA